CAUGGGCGGCUCCUGUUCUGUAAUGUGGGCUGGUCAAGCUUGUUUCCUGGAUGGACGUUAUAUAAGACCAGGCUCACCCUCAGCUGUAGUCAGACUCUACACAGCCAGAUCAGACCAAGGAUAGCAAACCCAGGAUUGUAGACCCAGGACUAACCCAGGACAGCAGUUUCCUCUUGUAUCUGACCCAUAAGACACCUCGCCUCUCUGCAAUAUGAAGUACCUGCUUCUGGGACUCUGCACACUGGCCCUGCUGGCCUCCACCAUGGCACAGAAUUCUACAACAACACCAACAACGGAGCAACAUAAUUCUACAAUGGGAUCAACAAAUGACCCCAAAAAUUCUACAAUACGACCAACAAUUGACCAAAGAAAUUCUACAGUACGACCAACAACUGACCAAAAUAAUUCUACAAUACGACCAACAACUGACCAAAAUAAUUCUACAAUUGGACAAACAACUGACCUAAAGAAUUCUACAAUUGGACCAACAACUGCAGAAAUAAAAGCCACAUGGCCAACCACUCUCACCACACCAGCAGGGGGCAGCCGUGUCUUCAGUUACUCCCUGACUCUACUGUUUGGUUCGACAGCCACCCUGAUCCUUCGUUCACUAUGGCAAUGAUCGCCACCUAGACGACAAGAGUCACAUUGACCGCACCAUCCUGAGAGCGUGUUGGAAACUGAAUGAAGAGCACAGGAGAAUGAGCUGUACAGCUUUCUCUUUUCUCUGACAAUGUGUUUUUACAAUGACCUUGAGGUUUGUGUGUCCUCUGUGUAUUUCAAGAUGCAUAAUUAACAUACUCUGGUUGACAGGGUAUAUUGCAAUGCCUAAAAUAUAUGAAUGUUUUGUAAUAAUUCAAGCUGUGAGUUACUUUGAACAAAAUAGCUUUCCAAAUUGUGAAUCAUUUAUUUUCUCAUAGUACAAAUGUUGAUCAGUAACCAAAUAAAAAUAAAAAUCGUAUUGCUAUGUGA